CCCUUAGAUGUUCGGAGCUGCACGCGCGCUACACUGAAGGAAGCAGCGUGUUAGAGCACCUGGCCCGCGAGGGCUGGGUAAUCCGGUGAAUGUCCUUCGUGAUUGGGAUAAGGACUUGUAAUUAUUUCCCUUGAACGAGGAAUACCUAGUAAGUGCGAGUCAUCAGCUUGCGCUGACUACGUCCCUGCCCCUUGUACACACCGCCCGUCGCUCCUACCGAUUGAAUGAUCCGAUGAAUACCAUGGAUUGAGAGUACGAAUAGGUUCGCUUAUUUCUGCUGCUCGAGAAGUGGAGUAAAUCUUAUCAUUUAGAGGAAGGAGAAGUCGUAACA
rnacentral:rRNA from 1 species